UACGGAGGGAGCUAGCGUUGUUCGGAAUUACUGGGCGUAAAGCGCACGUAGGCGGCUUUGUAAGUUAGAGGUGAAAGCCCGGGGCUCAACCCCGGAAUUGCCUUUAAGACUGCAUCGCUUGAAUCCAGGAGAGGUGAGUGGAAUUCCGAGUGUAGAGGUGAAAUUCGUAGAUAUUCGGAAGAACACCAGUGGCGAAGGCGGCUCAC
rnacentral:rRNA from 1 species